GCCGCAGUAGCUCAGUGGUAGAGCGCACCCUUGGUAAGGGUGAGGUCGAGAGUUCAAUUCUCUCCUGCGGCACCA
rnacentral:tRNA from 1 species